AUUGAACGCUGGCGGCAGGCUUAACACAUGCAAGUCGAGCGGUAGCACAGGGGAGCUUGCUCCCUGGGUGACGAGCGGCGGACGGGUGAGUAAUGUCUGGGAAACUGCCUGAUGGAGGGGGAUAACUACUGGAAACGGUAGCUAAUACCGCAUAACGUCGCAAGACCAAAGAGGGGGACCUUCGGGCCUCUUGCCAUCAGAUGUGCCCAGAUGGGAUUAGCUAGUAGGUGGGGUAAUGGCUCACCUAGGCGACGAUCCCUAGUUGGUCUGAGAGGAUGACCAGCCACACUGGAACUGAGACACGGUCCAGACUCCUACGGGAGGCAGCAGUGGGGAAUAUUGCACAAUGGGCGCAAGCCUGAUGCAGCCAUGCCGCGUGUGUGAAGAAGGCCUUCGGGUUGUAAAGCACUUUCAGCGAGGAGGAAGGUGGUGAGCUUAAUACGUUCAUCAAUUGACGUUAUUCGCAGAAGAAGCACCGGCUAACUCCGUG
rnacentral:rRNA from 1 species